rnacentral:rRNA from 1 species
GCGGGCCCGGCUGUCCCUGCCGGCCCCCGCCCGCUUACGGNAAGGCAGCAAGUGGGGAAUAUUGCCAAUGGGCGCAAGCCUCGUAUGCAGCCACGUGCNGCGUGUAUGAAGAAGGCCUUCGGGUUGUAAAGUACUUUCAGCAGUGAGGAAGGUGGUGUCGUUAAUAGCGGCAUCAUUUGACGUUAGCUGCAGAAGAAGCACCGGCUAACUCCGUGCCAGCAGCCGCGGUAAUACGGAGGGUGCGAGCGUUAAUCGGAAUUACUGGGCGUAAAGCGCAUGCAGGUGGUUUGUUAAGUCAGAUGUGAAAGCCCGGGGCUCAACCUCGGAAUUGCAUUUGAAACUGGCAGACUAGAGUACUGUAGAGGGGGGUAGAAUUUCAGGUGUAGCGGUGAAAUGCGUAGAGAUCUGAAGGAAUACCGGUGGCGAAGGCGGCCCCCUGGACAGAUACUGACACUCAGAUGCGAAAGCGUGGGGAGCAAACAGGAUUAGAUACCCUGGUAGUCCACGCCGUAAACGAUGUCUACUUGGAGGUUGUGGCCUAUAGCCGUGCUAUCGCAGCUAGCGCGCUCAGUAGACCGCCGAGGAUCCGAUCGUUG